UACGUAGGGGCGAAGCGUUGUCCGGAAUUACUGGGUGUAAAGCGCGUGUAGGCGGCAGGCCAAGUCGGUGGUGAAAGCGCCCGGCUCAACUGGGCGAGGUCCAUGGAAACUGGUCAGCUGGAGGACGGUAGAGGCGAGUGGAAAUUCCCGGUGUAGUGGUGAAAUGCGUAGAGAUCGGGAGGAACACCUGUGGCGAAGGCGGCUCGCUGGGCCGGUCCUGACGCUGAAACGCGAAGGCGUGGGGAGCAAACAGG
rnacentral:rRNA from 1 species